rnacentral:rRNA from 1 species
ACGCUCUGUUUACACAUCCACUCACACCUGUGCACCCUCUGUAGUUCUAUGGUUUGGGAGACCACCCCGUCUUCCUGCCCAUGGUUCUACGUCAUCACACACACACUGUAAUAGUCUCAUGGAAUGCAUGCCGCGUUUUACGCAACAAAAUACAACUUUCAGCAACGGAUCUCUUGGCUCUCGCAUCGAUGAAGAACGCAGCGAAAUGCGAUAAGUAAUGUGAAUUGCAGAAUUCAGUGAAUCAUCGAAUCUUUGAACGCACCUUGCGCCCUUUGGCUAUUCCGAAGGGCAUGCCUGUUUGAGUGUCAUGAACAUCUCAACUCUCAUGGGUUGCCAUGAUGAGCUUGGACUUUGGAGGUUUUUGCUGGCUUACGGUCGGCUCCUCUCAAACGGAUCAGCUUGCCAGCGUUUGGUGGCAUCACGGGCGUGAUAACUAUCUGCGCUUGUGGUUAUCCACCAGGUGUAACCUUCAGUGAUGGAGGUUCGCUGGAGCUUCAUAGACGUCCCUCCUCGACGAGGACGGC